UACGUAGGGUGCAAGCGUUAAUCGGAAUUACUGGGCGUAAAGCGUGCGCAGGCGGUUUUGUAAGUCUGUCGUGAAAUCCCCGGGCUCAACCUGGGAAUUGCGAUGGAGACUGCAAGGCUAGAAUCUGGCAGAGGGGGGUAGAAUUCCACGUGUAGCAGUGAAAUGCGUAGAGAUGUGGAGGAACACCGAUGGCGAAGGCAGCCCCCUGGGUCAAGAUUGACGCUCAUGCACGAAAGCGUGGGGAGCAAACGAGGAUA
rnacentral:rRNA from 1 species